GGGCCUGUAGCUCAGUGGUAGAGCAUCUGUUUGACACACACAAGGCCCCAGGUUCAAUCCCUGGCAUCUCCA